rnacentral:rRNA from 1 species
UGUCAGCCGCCGCGGUAAUACGUAGGGUGCGAGCGUUAAUCGGAAUUACUGGGCGUAAAGCGUGCGCAGGCGGCUUUGCAAGACAGAUGUGAAAUCCCCGGGCUCAACCUGGGAACUGCAUUUGUGACUGCAAGGCUAGAGUACGGCAGAGGGGGAUGGAAUUCCGCGUGUAGCAGUGAAAUGCGUAGAUAUGCGGAGGAACACCAAUGGCGAAGGCAAUCCCCUGGGCCUGUACUGACGCUCAUGCACGAAAGCGUGGGGAGCAAACAGGAUUAGAUACCCUGGUAGUCCACGCCCUAAACGAUGUCAACUGGUUGUUGGACGGCUUGCUGUUCAGUAACGAAGCUAACGCGUGAAGUUGACCGCCUGGGGAGUACGGCCGCAAGGUUGAAACUCAAAUGAAUUGACGG